rnacentral:rRNA from 1 species
GACGAACGCUGGCGGCGUGCGUAACACAUGCAAGUCGAGGGGGUGUAUGGGGCAACCUGUACAUCACCGGCGAACGGGUGCGUAACACGUAAGCGACCUACCGUAGUGUGGGGCAUAGCCGGUCUAACGGCCGGGUAAUUCCGCAUACGCUCUUUGGGCGGCAUCGUCUGGAGAGGAAAGCUGUUGGGGUAACCCAAUGGCGCACUAUGAGGGGCUUGCGGCCUAUCAGCUAGUUGGUGGAGGUAACGGCUCCCCAAGGCGACGACGGGUAGCUGGU